UGGGGAAUUUUGCGCAAUGGGGGAAACCCUGACGCAGCAACGCCGCGUGAGUGAUGAAGGCCUUCGGGUCGUAAAGCUCUUUUAGUGGGGAAGAAUCCCACCCGGGCUAAUACCUCGGGUGUCUGACGGUACCCACAGAAAAAGUUCCGGCUAACUACGUGCCAGCAGCCGCGGUAAUACGUAGGGAGCAAGCGUUGUUCGGAAUUAUUGGGCGUAAAGAGCGCGUAGGCGGUUCGGUAAGUCUGACGUGAAAUCCCGGAGCUUAACUCCGGAACUGCGUUGGAUACUGCCGAGCUUGAGUGUGGGAGAGGAGAGUGGAAUUCCCAGUGUAGAGGUGAAAUUCGUAGAUAUUGGGAGGAACACCCGUGGCGAAGGCGGCUCUCUGGACCACAACUGACGCUGAGGCGCGAAAGCUAGGGUAGCAAACGGG
rnacentral:rRNA from 1 species